AUUCCCGAUCUUCGGGCACAAUCUCUUUACCUUUGUUAGAGGGCUCACCACCUAUACAUCAUACGUGACACGAAUUUCAAUAAAUUGUGUCAAUGUAUCAUAAACUAUUUCAGGCUCUAAAAAUCUAUAUGAAUGUAUGAAAUGUGAUGCAAAAUGUCCGAAUAGACAUUUAAAUGCGGUAUUCGACCUAAUUCGCACUAUUCUCGGUGUAAUUGGCUAAAACCUCCAAUUUAACUCCAAAUCGAUUUCUUUCAUUUUUUACACUCCAAUUAUUCUUAAAAUACCUCAAUGACUGUGAAUAUGAUUCAAUUUAUCAGUCCGAACCACAAAUCGCACAUGUUUAUACAUUAGGUAAAAAUUCAGAUUUUCAUGCCAAAAUUUCCCAUUUAAAUUUCUAGCCUCACCAAUCAUUAAAUACUACCAAAAUAUCAUGAAAUAUCAUCAAUUUCAGCCUCAAUAUCCUCUCUAGAAAAUUCAACCUCUUGUGGGUUUGUGAAGAACAAAGUGAUUCCUUGCUAGAUUUUCAUACUUUCCAUUACCAAACAACCAAAAACACUUAAUUAGCUCGAAAUCUAGCAAAAUCAAUGCUCAAAACCUCUCCUCUCAAAUUCGGCUAGCAUGGGUUUAUCAUGCAAACUUGAGUUCUAAGCAUGGAAAAUGAAAAAGAAAGCAUGGGUUGUCACGACCCGAAACUCCCAUCGAGCCUGUGACAACCGCCUUGACGUCCCGAUAGGCACUCAUUACCCCGAAUGCCGAUCGAAACCACGCAAGGCUUAGCAUCAGCUUUCGCAUCUCCCCAGUGAGCGACAGCUAUUAAAUCUCACAUUUCAAAAAAAUCAUAAGUCAUUUCCAAAUCAAAACAAUAAAAUAUUACUUUCUGGCUCAUAGGGGCAUUUUCGUCAUUUUUCUUUGAAAAUAUCGAAACUCGCCAAAAACAUGGUGUAAAAGCUAAAUAUAUUCAUACAUACUUUAAAUCAAAUAACUGAAGAAUAAAAUUACUUUUACAGUGACACGUGGGCCCUCAACUGACUAAGAAGAUGUAGGGCUAUGAACCCUUACUUUCUAGGAUGCAACUCUGAGAUUACUUCUCAUCUUAAUCAACUAUCAACAAAUUGUCCUGAGCCUGAAAAAUGGAUAGGAAUAGGGGUGAGAUUAUGAUUACAUAAUCCCAGUGAGUAGACAGACAUCAUCAAAACAAUCUAAAGCCGAGUAAUAGGAGACAAUUAAAAUAAUUCAUCCCAACCCAUAUAAAUAAUUGGAUUUCAUUCAAUUACUCAACAUGGCUUAUGCACUUUUCAAAAACUUGGCCCUUGCCAAAAAUCCAUUCUCGGGGAUACCCCACGGAGGUAUCUUACCGAGACCGCCAAGGCUGUUUAUUGUCACACACACAAACACAUUUCACCUCUGACAACACAGCCGUUCCUUGGCGUUGGCUGAGUCUCACUCUCACGUGGUGGCCCGAACGUGAGGCGCACUCAAAUCCUACCUCGGGAGUUAUCCUACGCGCCUCUCCAAUCGAGGUAAGCUCAUUAAUUGGGAACCGUGCCCCUCUAAUUAGGCUAGCCCACGGAACCCCCGUCACUGCGGUGCCCACUUUAUAACCCACCAACCAAUAAAAUCACAAUAGUAUGACAUGGCUCACUUAACACAUUCAAGGAAAAUCAAAAUAGUUCACAUAUUCUUUAAAUCAUAGAAAUAACUAGCCAUACCCACAUUUAUCAUAAGCCAUUUAAUGUAAAAUCAUGGAUAAACAACACAAUCAUAGUAUAGGUCUCCAAUUACUCUAUUUUUGAAAUCAUUAUUAAAUUUUCAAAAAUUUUAUAAAAUUAUUUUAUAAAAUCUCAUUUUCCCAUAAAACACAAUAAUUUUUCAAUUAAACCAUUUUUCCAUAAAAUCACUCAAUUAAAUAAAUCUACUCUAGAUAAUUAAGAUGAUAGUAAGUUUACUCACAAUUCUAGGAGUCGAUAUACUCCUAUUUUCAGUCCACGGGUACAGUCCUUUACCUGUAUCUAAUGGCUCACCACCUAGCCAUAAUCCAUGGCACAUAUUUCAAUUAAAUUGGGUCUAACAGUCAUAAGCUAUUUCAGGCUCGAUAUAUAUGCGUGAUAUGAAAUGAAAAAUGCACAGGUUAUUGACCUAAGUCGAUUUUUCAUCCAAUAAAUUGGCCAAUGCGUCCAAUUUCACUCAAACUUGCUCCAUUUCUUUUCCAAUCCCUCAAUUCACCAAGCACAACUAAUUAACACACAAUUAGGCAAAAUUUAUCUUCACUUUUCUUCUUGGAACUUUCGGCCAACAAUGGUACACUAACUCCGUGAUUUUUCCUACUUAAUUUUCUUUCCAUAAUUCAUUAAUUCCUACACCAAAAACUAUUAUUUCUUAAUCAAAUCACCUAGAAUAACAUCUCAUUCUUCCUCUUUAUUCACUUAGAGAAUUCGGCUAUUGAUGGGAACCAAACCUUUGGUGGUUUUCUUCACUUGUUUUCAUGCUACACAUCAUUAAUCACCUAAAAACACUAAUAUACCUAAAAAUCAAACCAAUCCAAGAUCAUUCUCUCUCCAUACCCAUUUUGACCAGCCAUGAAUUCAUCAUGAAAACAUGUAAUUUAACCAUGGAACUUAAGGGAAAAUGCAUGGGUAAGGUAAAUCACUAGCAAAAUCAAAGAAAUUUUACCUUUGCUUGAUCAAAUCCUUGAAUUCCAACAUUUUCUCUUUGAUUUGUCCCACCUAGGGUUUGUUUUUCCUUGGUUUCUCUUCUCUUCUGGUUUGGCUGAUCACUAUGGGAGAAAUAGGCUGAUUUUUUUGCCUUUUUAUAAAGAUACAAUAAAAUAAUAAAAACAUGACACAUGGCAUUUCUUUAUUGGUUCAAAUUUUAAAUAUUUAACUUUUAAUUGUUUAAUUCUCCACCACACAUUUCUCAUGUUUAUCCAUCUCCACGAUGAAUAAAAUCCCUUGGUCUUGACAAGUGUCGAGGUGAAAAUUUAUCGAUUUGCCCCCGAGGUGGCAAAAUUACCAUUUCACCCUUAUACUCUAAAUUAUACCGGAAUUAAAAUUUUUCACUUCUAAACUUCAAAUCAUACUCCAAUAAGUCAAAUGGACCAAAAAAAUCUUUUCUAAAAUUUCCAUUUUGUCCCUAAGUGGCAAAUGACCAUUUUGCCCUUAGAUAUUGAAAAUUUCGGUUUGACUCCAAAUUGAUCCUCGAACUCCGAAUUGCCAUUUUGAGUCAUCCAUGAACUGUGAGACUCUUAAUUUCACCUUAAAAUUCCUAUUUGAACUAGUUCGAGGCUUAAUCGACUUAAUAGUACCAUUAGGGGCAAUAUCGUCUUUUAACGAUUUCUCAAACUUCCUAAAUAUGUAACCAUUCUAUUGAGCAUGUAAAUGAUGUCGUAAUUAUUUUAUAGAACAGGGUUUGACAUGGGUAGUGUAAAUCACAAGAUAAAAUUACAAAAUUUUACCUUUAUUAGCUUAAUCCCUUGAAAUCCCAUACUUUUUCUUCAAUUUUCCCACCUAGGGUUUGUGUUCUUUCCUUUCCUCUUCACUUCAUGCUUUUGGCCGGCCAUACGGAUGAGACUAAGAGAGUUUUAAAUAGAUUUUACAAGGAAAUUCUAGAAUAAUCCAAGCUUGACACAUGGCAUGUUUCCAUUGGUCCAU
rnacentral:lncRNA from 1 species